UGGAGGACCAACUUGCAGAAAUUCCAUGCACCGAAAAAGAGCUCUUAGCAGAAUUUUGGCAGAGAGUGCAGCCAGUAAUGAAGGGAUAGAUGCACCUAGCACUGUAGAUUUUGAAGAGACAUAGGGCUUCUCUCUACAGGAUCCUGGACCAUUAGUGCUUCAUCGUGGGUCACAGUGCAACAUCAGAUGUCUGCAAUGCUCAUCAGAUUUUGGCAGAGAGUGCAGCCAGUAAUGAAGGGAUAGAUGCACCUAGCACUGUAGAUUUUGAAGAGACAGAGGGCUUCUCUCUACAGGAUCCUGGACCAUUAGUGCUUCAUCGUGGGUCACAGUGCAACAUCAAAUGUCUGCAACGCUCAUCAGUUGUCCUUGGACUAAGGUGGCCCCUAAAUCAUGGCUGCAGCCGUCGCCGUGGUCCUGCUACACCCUGCUAUGCUGUGCAGUUUCCUUCUA